rnacentral:misc_RNA from 1 species
CAGCCUAAAAGCAAUUGGUUGGGCGAGUGCGAAAUCCAAUUUUGUCUCUGUGAUUACGGCACAUAAGUAGGUGGUGCAAGAUGAUUGGCUCCUGGCUUGAUGCAUGGAAACACCCAAGUUUGUGGUGAGGGAAAAGAAAUAUUUGGCAUGAAGAUGGGGAACUUUGGGGCCAUGAUAAACGUUAUAUGGAGGACAUAGAAGUUUCUUUCUUCACCGUGUCGGGGAACAGCGUCCCAAAAG